GGUAACAGGUUUUCUCAAUCAGGUAGUUCAUGGAGGAGUGUCUGAAAGAUGGCCCACAGUGCGUUCCUGGAAGGAGGGACCCAGCCGCCCCAACUAACGUGGUAAAAUGCCUACAGUUAAGAAAGUCACCCUCUCCCGCGCAGGCUUCUGUUUAAAAAACAGCCCGAGACUGGAGUGACAGGUGUGGGCGUUGCACUGAGGACUUUUUUUUUCAACUUUUAUAUGCUAAAGCAACAUGUUUCUCUAAUGGAAAACCCAGCUCUGCAGGAAAACAGUUCCCCUAGACUCUCCAACCUGGGAGGGCAGCCCCCACACUGAAAAGCCAAGGGCAUCCUGACCGCAGCCGCCUAUUCACCAGAGACCUUUUACUGGGAUUGGCGAGAAAGGCACACGACGCACCGAAGUUACCGGAUUGUGGCCGUUUCCGUGCUCCAGCUUUGCCUUCAGGUUACAGAUUCCAAACUUAGCCCCACCCGAGCCAAAAAUGGCAGGUACGCGCCGCCUGCCCUCCCCUCCCCGAGGCUGCCGUAGCCUCUGGCCCUUUCCUUCUCUCAACUAACCGCCCAGGGACUUGCGGCGGCUCCUACACCUUUCCCCAGCUCGGCGGGUGCUGCGCUCUUUUGGAAUGCGCUCUUUGGCUACGUGCUCUUUACGGUGACAGGUCCACCAGUGGUACAACUCAGCAAAACCAUCUUCCUCAAGUCUGCAAGUACCAACAGGCUUCCAAGUGGCACAGGUGGUUUUUCUUGUCUUUGAGUCAACGUGGCAGAGACUUCAAGAGUCCAUGAGGAGACUCUCCAGGGUAGGUUCCUAGACCCGCCCAUGCUCCCCCACCCUGGACACUUCUUGGACCUGCUCUGGACCUGUGGCCCUGUGGUCUCAGCCUUUCUGCUUUCAGUGUUCUUGGAGCCAUCAGCAGCUGUGUCCCCCACAAAGCCCUGACACUACUCUGUGUGAUACUACUGAGCCUCCUUAAUGUCCCUCCUUGCUGUGAAAUCUUAGUGCUUCAGCCUCUUCUUGAUGGGUAUCUCACCUUGCCCUUGAAGGAGAGCUUUGCUCAGAAAAUAGAGUCCUGGGAGACCCCAGAGACUGUUCCCAGCAGGAUGUCCAUCCCAUCAGCUGAGAGUCCUCAUGGUCAGUCUCAUGGACCUGUCAUGGAGGCCAGCCUGCAGGGCAGGACACAGGAGCACAGGCUGAAGAGGGCUUCCUGUGACUGCUAAGGACAAGCCUUUUGCUUGGCACCUGGGUGAGCUGCCAGCCCCGUUUUCAUUUGCAGCUUUUGUUGGAUUCUGGUCAGGGUCUCUGUCCAUCACCAUGGCACUGGGUGGUAGGGUGGGGGGUGGGCAUGGCCAUGGCCCUCUCUCUGGGGCCCCCUGUGCAGGACGACAUUGUUAGCACCACCCGUCAUUCAGACCAAGGCAGUGACAGAACCUUCCCAGCGAAGCCUUUGGAAGUGAAAUGUUGAGGCCACGGCAGAGCCACGGUCAAGUUCUUCUGCUUCCCAUGGUGCCCUGAGCCUGCUGCCAAGCCCACGUUCAAAGGCUGUUUCUUCAAAGUUAAUGGUGCCGCCUUUGAGCUGGGAAGGGAAGCGGGCAGUUGGGAGGCCCGUUUCCAUGUGCAUGUUUGAAGGGGCGGUAGGGGUUCUUUGGUUUAUGAUGGUGUGAAAACUUGGGCUGGGGAGAGGGGUCCAUGUCCACCUGGGCACUACCUGGCCCCACGUGGGCAGAGCUGGGAAGGGGCAUCAGGCACCGCCUUGUGGAAAGUGACCAUGAAGGACCCUUCCGGAGGGCCCCCCCCAAUCCUGUUGUGCUUGGUUCAGAGGGUUGGGCGGAGGCUUUCCUGAAGGGUCUGAGAGAGCAGCACCCACAGGCUGUGUACUCAGGAGUUAGGACGUGGGGGGUUGGAUGAGGGGAAGGCCAGCCCGGCCUGGCCACGUGUCUGCCUGCUUCCCUGAUGGAGGCCCGACCUGGUCAACUGCCCUGUGGUGGCCAGUGAGCAUCAAGAUGAAAACCCAGGAGCGCAGGCCCCUGACCCCAGCCUUGGCCUUGAGCACCUGCAGCUCCCUAUCAGCCCUCACAUUCUUUAGCCUGCAGCUGUCAGCCGGUCUGCAUCUGCCUGUGCACCCGUUUUUGGGGUCUUUCUCCCUCACCCCAACUGGAUACCUGGCCUGGCCAGCCCUCCCCACCCUUGGGAAGCCUCUCUCACCGUCCGGCUCUCCUUGGACAUCACAUCCCUUUCGUCUGAUCUCUCUGGGGAAGCCUAUUUGCUUCCCAUGGCUUCUAGUUCUUGUGGAUGAGCACCCAGGGGAUGGCCAGAGCUGCUGUGCCGACUGAAUGGUCCUCCAGCUUCUUUCUCCACACGUGGCACUCAGUAGGUGCCUAAUAAACCUGUUCAGAAUGA